ensembl:lncRNA
UCUGGUGGUAGUGCUCCUUUAUUCAGAGAAUAGCAUGGGGACAGGACCCGUGGGCAGUGAAGGGCUGUAGGCAUGGGGACAGGACCCCUGGGCAGUGAAGGGCUGCAGGCAUGGGGACAGGACCCCUGGGCAGUGAAGGGCUGCAGGCAUGGGGACAGGACCCCUGGGCAGUGAAGGGCUGCAGGCAUGGGGACAGCACCCCAGGGCAGUGAAGGGCUGCAAUGUCUUGAGGGUAGGGCUAAUUUUAUAAGGCAUGGGUACGUGACUUAUUUUCUACUAGACAAAGGAAAGACGAUGUAAAAAAUCAUUAAAUGGUAUCAGUGCAGGUGGGGUCUGGUUAUUGCAUGGCCGUAUAACUUUAGACAUGAAUCGGGUCGUAUAGAUCUGCAUGUAGGCCAGGACGCCUUGGGCUUCUCUUCCUGGGGCAGCCUUGAUCCACAUCAAUAUAUAGGACACAGACACACACACAGUGGAAUGACCCAGCACACAUGGAGCGGAUUAUAUACAGGGCACACACACGGCAGAAUGUCCCGAUACACACAGAUCGGAUUAUUACAUGAGAGCAAAGAACAAAACAGUGAGGGAGUCGUGGUAAAUUCAAUGUCUCCUGGGGAGGGUGGUCUUAAACCCGGUGUUGGAGCAUGGACACACUAGGGGUGAGGCAAGAAGGAGCUCUGGGUGGGGAGCGUAAGGGGGUGGUGUGAGUAGAGGCAGCAGAAGUCCGAAGUGACCAACUGGGUGAGGAUCACAGGUGCUUACAUUUGGGAGGAACUGUAAACUGUCAUGGAUGCACAGCCCUUGGGUUCCCAGGAUGACAGUGCAAAGGGGAUGGCGAUGAGAGGGGCCUGUGGGGGCCAAGACCAGCAAGCUGAGGCCCCGUGGCAGGGAUGGCAGACGCCCAGCGAGGCGCUAGCUCCUGGAGAUCACUCACAGGGAGAACAGAAGCAAUUCUAGUGCCCCCAAGACAAGAGCAGGGCCCGGAGACCUGACCAGAAUGAAUCCUGGCUCAGCCCUUGAUGGAGUGAUUGGGCAGGAGACCCCGCCCGGUGUCUGCGCGUCCCCUUCCUUGAAACAGGGGUCCUGGGAGCGACGCUUCCAGGGCGCAGUGAGGGCUCCCGGGACGCGGGCAUUUAGCACAGCCCUGGGCCCGCCCUGGCUGCUCCACCCCUGAAGGCACCGGCCCCAGGAGAGUGCCCUGCCUCGCGGCGGCUCCUCCGAUCCUGGAAGCCCGUGCGGCCUCUGCCUUCGAGGGGACACUUCCGCGCGAAGCCCCGACCCCUCCAGGCUGAGGGCCGCGCCCAGGGAGAGGUCACCCCGGGGUCGUGGUCCGCGUCCAGGGACCGUCACCCCGGGGCGGGUAUCCGCGUCCAUGGGGCGGUCACCUCGGGGCUAGGGUCCGCAUCCAGGGGGUCGAGACCCCUUCUCGGAUGUCCGCCGCACCUCAGCAGGGACUGAAGAACAGAGGGACGUGGACGCCGUGUCGGAGGUCGGGGGUCCAGGCCGCCGCGCGCGGGAGGUGCGAGCAUCCUGUUUAGCGGGCGAAGGGUCGCUCGGCUCCUGACACCCCUUCCCGCGGACCCUCCGCGUCUCCCUGGCACCCAGCCUCGCCCCGCACCU